rnacentral:lncRNA from 1 species
CAAUAUAUUCAGAACAUAUUAUUAGUAAAGAGCAUAACCCCUUCUUUGAUUUGAAAAGUCACCGCAAACCUUGUCAGACACAUGAACUUGUGCUGUGUGUCAGGGCCCCAGCUACCCUGCAGGAAGUGGAGGGGUGGCCCCAGGCCUUCAGGCCAGCCAGGCAGGAGUCUCUUCUCCUCUCCAGACAGUAGGGACACAUGGCCUGACUCCUCACUUAGGUCUGGCUUAGGGACUCACAGGAAUACAAGAACUAGUUUCUUCCAGAUCAGAAGUUCUCACUAAAGCAGGUAUAAAUAUUUUAUUGAGUUUUCCUUAAUAUCCAAACUGUUCAACUAUAGAAGGCUUACUCCUUCGCCUGGGAUUUUCCUGACCUGUUACUACUUUUCUCUGGAAGAAAAAUUUAAAAGUAAUAAAGACAAACUACAGUUACUUGGGUGAGUUGGCUCCCCAGGCUUUUGAGAUACCUGCCUUUUGUCCAGCACUGCAUCGUCCUCGCAUAUCCAAGGCUGUGUCUCCCUUCAGCAUCACCACUCG